rnacentral:rRNA from 1 species
UACGUAGGUGGCAAGCGUUGUCCGGAAUUAUUGGGCGUAAAGCGCGCGCAGGCGGUUCUUUAAGUCUGAUGUGAAAGCCCACGGCUCAACCGUGGAGGGUCAUUGGAAACUGGGAGACUUGAGUGCAGAAGAGAAGAGUGGAAUUCCACGUGUAGCGGUGAAAUGCGUAGAGAUGUGGAGGAACACCAGUGGCGAAGGCGACUCUUUGGUCUGUAACUGACGCUGAGGCGCGAAAGCGUGGGGAGCAAACAGGG